ensembl:snRNA Gm22249 predicted gene, 22249
AGCUUUGCGCAGUGGCAGUAUCGUAGCCAAUGAGGUUUAUCCGAGGUGCAAUUAUUGCAAUUGAAAAACCCUCAUGGUUAGCCCCUUUUGCAGCUUUGAUUGGUUGUAACUGCUUAGAGUCCCCCAAUUAAGUA